AACCUACCUUCAUCAGGGGGAUAGCCCGAAGAAAUUCGGAUUAACACCGCAUAACAUUAUUGGAUGGCAUCAUUUAAUAAUCAAAUAUUUAUAGGAUGAAGAUGGGCAUGCGUGUCAUUAGCUAGUUGGCGAGGUAACGGCUCACCAAGGCGACGAUGACUAGGGGAUCUGAGAGGAUGACCCCCCACACUGGUACUGAGACACGGACCAGACUCCUACGGGAGGCAGCAGUAAGGAAUAUUGGUCAAUGGAGGCAACUCUGAACCAGCCAUGCCGCGUGCAG
rnacentral:rRNA from 1 species